rnacentral:lncRNA from 1 species
AAUCAAUCUAAAACACCAAAUUCACUGAUUCCAGAGUUAAUCUAAGGAGUUUAUACAAGAUAUUACUCAAAAAGCUGUUCCCAAUAAACCUGUACUGUUGGUUUAAGAUACAUGGUGUAUGCAGGGAGAAGCAACUUCUAAUUGAGCAGUGAAUAUAUCAACAGAUCCUGAGGUGUUUCAUACUGACAAUGGGUGUGUUUAGUGGAUCACUGUAAGGAGUUCCUUAACCCAAUCUCCAGUGAGAGGGAAAUGGAUGUUACUAAAACUGCUUAGGAAUACCAUAAAAAAUGAAGUCUGUCUCAUUAAUAAAACAAGUCUGAAUCAGGUCAAGUCAUCAUGGAGAUAUUGGCUCCAAUUUAAUUGGGAUCCCCAUUACAUAUGAGACAGCAUUCUGGGUUCUUUAUCCUAUAACCAU